CAUGCCUGUGAGCAGCCCCAGCUGAUGCACUGUGCUCAGUGGCACACACCCAGCAGCAGGCACAGCUCUCACACACUCUCAUGCUCAUCCACUGUGUUUGCCCAGGAAGAAAUCUUAAUCUGGAACACCGUUGAUUUGGGUUCAAAUUAGAGGUGGUGAAGAGUUACUGGGUUGCUAAGCCACUUGCAAGGAGGAACAACUGCUUCUGAAGCAAAACCAGUGAACCAGAAAAGCUAUGCAGUGAUCUGAAAGGCUUUGUCUCACUGGUGUAUUAUAUCACAUCUUCCCUGAUAACUGCAGGAUAAUUCUGAAAGGAGUUUUAGAGUAGUUUCAUGAUGGAAGUUACUAAGGAGCAGUACACUUGUUGUACAUGGAGAUGGUUCUCCUUAUGACUACAAGGCUACAUCCCACAGACAACUUGCCAACAAGAAGGAAAAAUUUGCCAGAAAUGCAUGGAGGCAGCAGCAUAGAAUGGUGUACAAGCAACUUCAAAAAGUAAAUGCUUCUACAAGACACGGAUGUCCAGACUUUAAUUCAAAAAUACUUAGUUUAUUAACAAUGAUAGCACUGUCUGAUGUUUCCUGAGACUACUAUAGCUUUAACUUCUUUAUUUCUAUAAGACGAAUUUUUAAAAUUGAUUACAACCUCUGUUAGCCUGCUUAAUGGCAACUUCAUUUUUUUAAGCUGCUCUUUUCCAAGGUCAGAAGAAAGUCCUCCUCUCACCAUCUACACUAUUGCACUGCUGGCAUGGAGCAUCGGUGACGGGUAGCUUUUCUCAUUUCCUUCAGACACAUGAAUCACAGUCAUUACUAAAUGCAGCAGUCCUGAUUGGAGGGUGGAAGGGUGGGAUAGGAAGCUUGUUUGAUCCACCAUAGCAAAUCCUCUGUUUAAGUUGGGGAUCUUCCAAAUUCCCAUCAUCUGUGUUUCAAUACCAUUCCUGUAUACUCUCAGAUGAAGGAAAACAUGCCACAUCUUUACAUAUUUAGCUAAGAAAAAUCAGUUUAAGUCACCAGAGAGAUAAAGCUGU